rnacentral:lncRNA from 1 species
UCUUUUCUAUAAAUAUUCUCAAACCCAAUUGCCAAUAAAUUGCCAACAAAGAGUUUCUUUCUUUCAUAUUAGUUUACACACAUAUUCUUCACCAACAAGGCAUGGCCUCCCAUGGCAGUGGCAUGACAGUCUCAACUUCUCCAAAAAGUGGUGGCAACGCAGAAGCUGCAGCAAUUUCACCAAAAGGAGGCCAAUGCUUGUGCUCACCAACAACUCAUCAAGGAUCGUUCCGGUGCCGGUUUCACCGGUCCCAAUCAUCGGCUUGGAUGAAGCGAUCAAAGUCCAUGCCCACCAAUAAUAACUCUGUGGCUUCUUUCUCUCCAAAGUCAGUACUUGAGUCUACUUAGUUAGCAACAUCAAAGUCCCCAAACAAAACUAUAUGGUAUAAACAAAUAGGUAUAAAGCAAUAUUCUCUCUGUUUGCUGAAUUCAGGUGUGUUACAUAUAUAAAUUCUAUAUGAAUUAUGUAUUACAGUUUUAAUGUAUGUGCAGUUGCU